rnacentral:rRNA from 1 species
GAAGGCUGAAAUUACGCCUUCCAUGAAGCCGGAAUUGCUAGUAAUGGCAGGUCAGCAUACUGCCGUGAAUACGUUCCCGGACCUUGUACACACCGCCCGUCACACCAUGAGAGUUGGGGAUACCCGAAGCCUGUGAGCCAACUUUUUAAGAGGCAGCAGUCGAAGGUAGAAUCAAUGAUUGGGGGUGAAGUCGUAACAAGGUAAC